rfam:Aedes albopictus isolate Foshan contig27489, whole genome shotgun sequence.
AGCCCAGCAACUCCUAUCCCUACCUCCACGCGGUACCGGCCGGAAACUAUGAGCAACCUUAGGGAAGAUCGGGUAACCAACCCCGGUGGGACCUUUGGUCGUAGGCUGACAGGGAAGG